CCUAUGUAGUUAUCUACUUGUCUCCUAGACCUUAAGGUGUGAAUUACAUUUAAUUGAUUGAUCUGAGCUCCUUAUUGCGGUCCUUGAUUAUUUUGGAUCCUAGGGUUGCCUCAGACUGACUCGGUAGUUUAUCUUUUUUUCUUUCACUCACAACCAUGGCUAAUUGAUCUAAUGCAUAUCUAAAUGAGCAAUAGCUUAGAUGUUGAAAGUUAAAAGCUGGCCCAUGGUCUGCAUGAAGUUAUUUGGUGUAGUGUUGGUAUUGGCAGUUGAUUUCAUCAGAACUUCUAGACUUUUUUUUAGCGAGUUAAGCCUUUGAUCAUUAUGAAAAUCUGAUGGGUUAUUUGAUGAUUGAGUGGGCCUAGGGUUGGGCUAAGUGAAGGCAAAUCUACUUGUGUUUGACACUUGUGACCA
rnacentral:lncRNA from 1 species